CGAACGCAUCCCGCUGAAUUGAAGUGCUUGCACUGAUUUUUAGCAUUGCCUGAGUGGCGAACUGGUGAGUAACACGUGGGUAACCUGCCCGGAAGCAGGGGAUAACACUUGGAAACAGGUGCUAAUACCGUAUAACAACUGAAACCGCAUGGUUUCAGUUUGAAAGAUGGUUUCGGCUAUCACUUCUGGAUGGACCCGCGGCGUAUUAGCUAGUUGGUGGAGUAAUGGUUCACCAAGGCAAUGAUACGUAGCCGACCUGAGAGGGUAAUCGGCCACAUUGGGACUGAGACACGGCCCAAACUCCUACGGGAGGCAGCAGUAGGGAAUCUUCCACAAUGGACGAAAGUCUGAUGGAGCAACGCCGCGUGAGUGAAGAAGGGUUUCGGCUCGUAAAACUCUGUUGUUGAAGAAGAACACAUCUGAGAGUAACUGUUCAGGUGUUGACGGUAUUUAACCAGAAAGCCACGGCUAACUACGUGCCAGCAGCCGCGGUAAUACGUAGGUGGCAAGCGUUGUCCGGAUUUAUUGGGCGUAAAGCGAGCGCAGGCGGUUUCUUAAGUCUGAUGUGAAAGCCUUCGGCUUAACCGGAGAAGUGCAUCGGAAACUGGGAGACUUGAGUGCAGAAGAGGACAGUGGAACUCCAUGUGUAGCGGUGAAAUGCGUAGAUAUAUGGAAGAACACCAGUGGCGAAGGCGGCUGUCUGGUCUGUAACUGACGCUGAGGCUCGAAAGCAUGGGUAGCGAACAGGAUUAGAUACCCUGGUAGUCCAUGCCGUAAACGAUGAAUACUAGGUGUUGGAGGGUUUCCGCCCUUCAGUGCCGCAGCUAACGCAUUAAGUAUUCCGCCUGGGGAGUACGACCGCAA
rnacentral:rRNA from 1 species